rnacentral:rRNA from 1 species
CAGUCGAACGAAGCGCUCGGACGGAGUCUCUUCGGAGAGGAAGGCCGGGCCACUGAGUGGCGGACGGGUGAGUAACGCGUGGGCAACCUGCCCUGCACAGGGGGACAACAGCCGGAAACGGCUGCUAAUACCGCAUAAGCGCACAGCUUCGCAUGAAGCGGUGCGAAAAGCUUUGGCGGUGCAGGAUGGGCCCGCGUCUGAUUAGCUUGUUGGCGGGGCAACGGCCCACCAAGGCGACGAUCAGUAGCCGGCCUGAGAGGGUGGACGGCCACAUUGGGACUGAGACACGGCCCAGACUCCUACGGGAGGCAGCAGUGGGGAAUAUUGCACAAUGGGGGAAACCCUGAUGCAGCGACGCCGCGUGAGCGAAGAAGUAUUUCGGNUAUGUAAAGCUCUAUCAGCAGGGANGAAAAGACGGGACCCUGAGUAAGAAGCUCCGGCUAAAUACGUGCCACNAGCCGCGGUAAUACGUAUGGAGCANGCGUUAUCCGGAUUUAC